rnacentral:tRNA from 1 species
GCCCCCAUCGUCUAGCGGCCUAGGACGGCAGGUUCUCAACUUGCAGAUCAGGGGUUCGAAUCCCCUUGGGGGUA